UAGUUGAUACCAAGCAAUUAGCUCAGCCAAUUGUUGUAAAUGAACUGAAUGGUAAUGUGAAAAACAUGUGAAAGGCUGCAGGAUUCGAGGGAAAUUACAUAAACCAUUCCGGAAAGAGGACCUGCGCUACUUCCCUUUACCAAGCAGGUUUUGAUGAACAACUCAUUAUGGACAGAACGGUACAUCGCAGCAGGGCUGUACGUGCAUAUAAGGUGAAGAAAGAAGACGGAAAAUUUCUAAACGGCACUCGUAUUUCAUUAAAUUUUGUUUGAAAUGCA